AGCUUUCUCUGCUCUACUUUGCUUCCCUUUCCUUCUGUGUGUACACAUACCCUGUAGUGAGCCUGGAACAGCAGGCCAAGUGUUUGUCUAUCUCUUGUCUGUUCUUUCAGUCUGAAAUAAAUGAUAUUUUUUGAAAUUGAGUUCAGCUGGGACCUAAUGGAGGAAAACUGAGAUGAGAGGCAAGGAAGAAACAAAUCUGAGAAUCAAAGGAUGACCUAGUGGAACUCCGAAGAGGAUGUCUUGAAGCCUUUAUAUAGCAGAAACAGCAGGCACAAGAAUAGUGAUGCAUUUGGCAAACUCAGUGUGAGGUAUUUGCAUCAUCUACUUCAUGCAUCUGAGCCAGGAACGAGCUGAGGAAUGAA
rnacentral:lncRNA from 1 species